GUUUCGUAUAAAUGCGGGAAGGACACGGAGCGAUGCGAGUUCCGAGCAGGCGGCCGCGUCAAUGGCGGAGCGCCGGCCCCGAGCCCCCCUCGCGCCAGCUGCACAUGCGCCGACAACAGCUGAUCCCCGAACGUAGACUAACACCUAGAAGAAGCAAUAAAGAUGACUAAAAUGACUCGUCAAGGCCAAGUCUUCGAGACAUUACUUUGAAAUAUGGCCUUACAUGGCCCAAUAAAAUCUACAAAGUUGCAGAAAUUGGAUACUGAAACAGUGUAACUUAAUGGUUAGAUAAAGUUUUAUUGCCGCCGUUGUACAAUGUGCAAAAAGUAUAAAUAAAUAAAUAAAGUUGUAUUGCAUACCUA